rnacentral:rRNA from 1 species
GUAGUCUGCAACUCGACUACAUGAAGCUGGAAUCGCUAGUAAUCGCGGAUCAGAAUGCCGCGGUGAAUACGUCCCCGGGUCUUGUACACACCGCCCGUCACACCAUGGGAGUCAGUAACGCCCGAAGCCGGUGACCCAACCUAUUCUGGAGGGAGCCGUCGAAGGCGGGACGGAUGACUGGGGGUGAAGUCGUAACAAGGUAGC